GACAGAGGGGGCAAGCGUUGCUCGGAAUUACUGGGCGUAAAGGGCGCGUAGGCGGGAUGGCAAGUCGGUCGUGAAAUCCCUCGGCUCAACCGAGGAACGUCGAUCGAUACUGCUGUUCUUGAGGAUUGCAGAGGAGACUGGAAUUCCCGGUGUAGCGGUGAAAUGUGUAGAGAUCAGGAGGAACACCGGUGGCGAAGGCGGGUCUCUGGGCCGAUACUGACGCUGAGGAGCGAAAGCGUGGGGAGCGAACAGG
rnacentral:rRNA from 1 species